GUGCUCACCGGUGCGCCGGAGGGUGCGCGGCUGACGACCGCGUCGGUCCCGGUGACCGACGGCGUCGCCCGGGUCGACGUGAGCGCGC
rnacentral:tRNA from 1 species